CGCUAUUGUUUUCGCCCGAGCGUCAUUUCGAUUCGCGAUUUGUCUGUGUUCAGUGCGGAUUUGUAUCAAAUUUAUGUGUUUACAAAAUACUAUAAUUUUUUCUAAUUGUAUAGCAUAUUAAAAUGUCCAUCUCAACAAAGGGGAAGUCUCCAAAAAACCCCGCAGGAGGUCAGUGCAGUUGAAAAAGUACGCUUAAUCCAAGCUGUUGCCCAUUAUUGUGAGGUUUCACCGACAGGAAGCAAUAUUACAACAGGGCAAAUCCACGGAGAACAACCACAGAAUUUCAGUGUCCGUCCUCGAAAGGAAACAGAACCACCAGAACAACCUCCGACGAGCUCUCCAUUGGGGAACCACAGGACUCCACAGCCACCAGAUACUUGGCAGCUAAAGCGGAGAUGGACGACGAGCUGGCCUCUAUACGGAGAAGGAAAAAAGGGCGCCCGCUAAGGAACAGCUGGAGGAGCUAUCACCAGCCACUGCCGGGUUGGGAACGGGGUUGUUCCGCCGGAUGCCUUAGACUUCCUCAAGGUCCAAUUCGGAGCUGGGCUGCAGAGGGCGCGGGAAAGACGGCGAAGCAUCCGUGGGACGAGAAGCAAGCUUAAUAGUACUUAUUUACAUAAAUAAAAAUAUUCGUUGAACAUUA